rnacentral:misc_RNA from 1 species
UCGGAGCGAAGCUUGCUCGCGAUGAACGAUAACGCGGUCUACUGGUGGACCGCAGCGUCCGAAUCGCGAGCAAGCUUCGCUCCUA